UACGUAGGGUGCAAGCGUUAAUCGGAAUUACUGGGCGUAAAGCGUGCGCAGGCGGCUUUGCAAGUCAGAUGUGAAAUCCCCGGGCUCAACCUGGGAACUGCAUUUGUGACUGCAUGGCUGGAGUGCGGCAGAGGGGGAUGGAAUUCCGCGUGUAGCAGUGAAAUGCGUAGAUAUGCGGAGGAACACCGAUGGCGAAGGCAAGCCCCUGGGCCUGCACUGACGCUCAUGCACGAAAGCGUGGGGAGCAAACAGG
rnacentral:rRNA from 1 species